UAGGGAAUCUUCGGCAAUGGACGAAAGUCUGACCGAGCAACGCCGCGUGAGUGAAGAAGGUUUUCGGAUCGUAAAACUCUGUUGUUAGAGAAGAACAAGGACGUUAGUAACUGAACGUCCCCUGACGGUAUCUAACCAGAAAGCCACGGCUAACUACGUGCCAGCAGCCGCGGUAAUACGUAGGUGGCAAGCGUUGUCCGGAUUUAUUGGGCGUAAAGCGAGCACAGGCGGUUUCUUAAGUCUGAUGUGAAAGCCCCCGGCUCAACCGGGGAGGGUCAUUGGAAACUGGGAGACUUGAGUGCAGAAGAGGAGAGUGGAAUUCCAUGUGUAGCGGUGAAAUGCGUAGAUAUAUGGAGGAACACCAGUGGCGAAGGCGGCUCUCUGGUCUGUAACUGACGCUGAGGCUCGAAAGCGUGGGGAGCAAACAGG
rnacentral:rRNA from 2 species